UACGUAGGGUGCAAGCGUUGUCCGGAAUUAUUGGGCGUAAAGAGCUCGUAGGCGGUUCGUCGCGUCGGCUGUGAAAACCUGAGGCUCAACCUCAGGCCUGCAGUCGAUACGGGCGGACUUGAGUACUGCAGGGGAGACUGGAAUUCCUGGUGUAGCGGUGAAAUGCGCAGAUAUCAGGAGGAACACCGGUGGCGAAGGCGGUCUGCCUGGGCAGUAGCUGACACUGAGGCGCGACAGCGUGGGGAGCAACAGG
rnacentral:rRNA from 1 species